rnacentral:lncRNA from 1 species
AUGUCAAUCCUGGGAGACUCCCAGGUCCUUGGAUGUAGUUGCCGACUUCAACCUUGGGAAUCUGAAGACGAGGCUUCAACUGCAGUGAUUGCACUCAGGUCAGCAAAGGGACGAGACCCAGACUCUGCCAGUUGUCAGAGGGAGGAUCCUGAAGAAACUGCAGACACCUGCCUUUUCCAUCUGCCUCAUGAGGCCCCAGGAGUAGCUGUGACGACACUGAGCAGAACCAAGGGGUCCUCACUGCAGAGAAAGGGUGGCCCACGGAAACCUGCCCUGCUCCUUGCUCCAGCCUGGGAGACCUCAGGCUGACAAGAACAGCAGCCCGUGACACCUGGGAGCUCCCCUAAAGAGGAGACCUGGUCCCAUUGUCCUGCUGGCUACAUCCAAUACCAGCCAUCAUGUCUCUGGGUCAGAAGAGUGAGUGCUGCAAGCUUGAGGAAGACCUUCAGGCCCCAAAAGAGGCACA